AGUGAAGUGCUAAUUGUACAUCUAAGGCCCCGUUUGGAUGCACAGUAAAUAAAUUCCAUGGAAUUUAAAUACCGUAGUUUUGGUCCAAAUAAAAUGGAGUAUCCUGUAACUCCAAAAAAAUUCCACGGGUUACUUUAAAAGCUGUUUGGAUACACAUUUUAGAAUUCUACAGGAUUUCUGAUAAUCUUUAAAAAUUAGCCUUGUGAAUUUAAACUUAAAUUAUUAGUUAUUAAAUGACUUUAAAAUCUAAAAAUUUAAAUAAAAUUUUAAAAUUUAAAUUUAAAUUAUUAACUAUU
rnacentral:lncRNA from 1 species